GUAAAUCUGACUUGCCCAAUUCUUUUUGACUAGCCCAAAAGACAUUGGAUGCAGAAACCCAGCGAGCACACUACGUCAACACGUUAUAUAUAUAUAUAUAUACAAGUUUUGUUCGUAACUUUGGUAGAAAUAUCUGGCCAGACCAAAGAUGAGAACCUAUAAUAUUUUCACUACUUGCCUGUGUAUUAAGCAAUUAAAAUGAAACUUCUUGGUAAGCAGUGCAGCAAACUCCGAGCUAUAUAACUGAAAGAAUAUAUUUUAGAACAACUGGAAGAACAAACUCGUUGAGCCAUCCCCAAAUGACCUCAAAUCUGCAGGUUUGACCACAGCCCCGCACAUCGGGCACGUCCCUUCUCUCUCAAACCUGUUCCACAGUUGUAUAUGAUCCACAAGGAACUUCUUUUCUUGAUAGUGCCUUUAAGGCUGCAAAGAAGGAUUUAACCUUCUCAACAAAAGUAGUGAUCUUGAAAGUUAAAUACAGCCCUGUAAUCAGUGAUGAAAAAAGGUUUCCAUAUUCUUUGUUUAAGAAGAAUAUAUACCAGACAGGCGUUGGCAUUAAGGCACGAUAUAACAGCAGCAUAUAUUCAACCAAGGUUAGCAUCUGACCCUGCCGGUGAUAAUUGAGGUUCCACCAUUCUUCUAAUAAAUUAGCAGUAGACACUUGAAAGCCAUUGCUGCCAUUUAUUACAACAAUGAAUGUAGCAUGCCAAAAAAUGUGGUAUUACAUUUGGAGGAAGCAUGAUCAUUGGAGGCAAAAGAUCAUCAUUUCUAUCCCAACAGUAAAGACCAACCACGUAAAGCAGGAAAACUAUGGAGAUUAGAGCAAGAACAGAGAUUUGUCUCUCUCCCUGCAGAAACCAACAAUUAUUAAUCUUCUCUUUUUAUCAUUUUUUGUUUGAAGUGGGACUGGGAGAAGGAACUUCUAUAAAUGGACCACACACUAGAGCACUUUCAGUGCCGUCUGUUUUGAAGAAUAUCAUUUGACUUAAACAACAAAGCUGUAAUCCCAGUUACAACAGCAAAACCUUGCAAGUGUUGACGGAUGAAGACAACCAGAAAUGGCAAUAAGAAUGGAAGAAUAUACUCAAUCCAUCCGGUAAAAAGUUGCACGUCAAUACCCUGAAAAGAAGAAUCCGGCCCAUCCCAAACAACACCCUCAACAAAGUGUCUGCUGUCCGAAUGGGGAGCUUAUGCAGGAGGAGAAGCAAGCCUCUCAUCAGCUACAUCUGCAGUGUCAACAUCUGCUUCAUUAUCUAAUAUUGCAUCAUUCUGUUCAUUAGUCCUUUGCCUGAGGUGGUCGCCUUCUCCAGAUUCAAUAAUCUGAAUAGAAACCUCGCCAGCACUAGAACUAUUGGUGGUGCUAUGAUUACCAAUAGAAUUAGGAAACUGGGUUUGAGUGUAAGUUCCAUUGAGUAUCAAAUUGUUAUUGGCUUGUUCUUGUUGGCUUGAGGGCUGGCUUGGAUUCAUACCAGCAUACUCCAACAAAAGAGAAAGGGGGCGAUUGGAACAUGCCGAGAGAAGGAAACUGGAUUUUUGAAUUAAUAAUGCUACUUUUAGCGGCACUAUCACUACUAGUUGCUUCCAAAGAACAAAUGGACGCACCAAUAUGGGAGCCUGAUGUCAGUUUCUGCACUUCCACCUUAAAUAAUUUCUAAAUCUUCACCUAGUGGAAAAUGGAAGAUGUCCCACGAGUCCAUUGACCUUUGAUCUUCCUGAGAAAGUAAAGGACUUCUGUAUCGACCUUGAUGACAGUAUGAACAGGUGUUCGCAGAAAAAGUUUCCCUUCUAACAAAGCAAUGGAGAGAGAUCCAAAAGUUCCCUCAAGUAGAAGAUACAACCAGAAUUAAGCCCUUCGGAGAGAUCCAACAAAUGGUUUAGACUUGAGAGGUCAAAAACAUAAAGCUGUAAAUGGAUUUGAGAUCAUAUCUUCCAGCAAAUUGCAAGUGGAGGGAAAAGGUCAAUGCCAAAGGGACAGAAAUGCCAUCGUGUUUCCAUCAAACUCCUUUCUUUAAUGAGUUAGUUUUUGUCCCAGAUGAACCGGGAACAACAAAAUUCGUGACAGAAAUGGUUAGCCUUGGAUAUUUUCAUCUCCAUUAUUAUUUUAGCUAUUUGCACACCAAGGUCAUCGCCUUUUCUGUAUUUUAUAUUUGAGUCAUGCUGUUCUCUUAUGCCCUCAACAAUAUUCAAAUACAGCUGCAAGAAUGUUGCCGUCACGAAAUGAAUUAUCAAAGACCGAUGUCUUCAGACCCCUGCUUGGUAUACUCCCUAACAGCGUCCCAACCCAAGCCAACCCAGCUAAACAAGGUUCAAUUUGCUUAAAAAUGGGAUUUUCUAACGAAAGAUGACAGAUUAUUGAAAGAUAUUUACCACCCAGAACUCGCAAGCAUAUCCUCAUAUAAGAGAGGAUGAUACAGUUUCAACUAGAUUUUACUGUUUUCUGUUUUGUGGGCUUAACCCCGCAACUGUAACCAACUUCAAUUGCUAAAGAGAGAGAGAGAGUAAAAUUAUUCACAAGUCUUUCAAGUCAUUCCAUGUGCAAAACAUGAAAGUAUCUGCAGGUAGUCACCGACUCCUUCUCAAGCAGCGCUGGCAGGAAUACAUGUCAACUUAAGACUGCAAUCCAAGCAAAGCAACACAUUGCCAUAAUCUAAAUUUCAUACAGCUACCAACUUUUCAUUUUCUGGUGCACUCGGUGAAAGAAAAAGGAAAAUGAAGCAUAUUAAUCUAGCCUCUCCAGUUGUCCUUC
rnacentral:misc_RNA from 1 species